UUAGAAUCUCACACCAUUAAAGAAGAAGUUUUAAGGGAAAUAAAGUUUGACAAAGUUUAGUAUAAUAUGAUAAAAGAAAAGCAAAAGUUCCCGGACUUAUCGCAUUGCCUAAUUCAGCAUUCGGCUAAAUGGAAUCAAUAAGUGCAUGCGCGUCACUUUCCUCAUUUGGUACAUUUUUUACCUGGGCGAUCAGAUCUUGGAAGGGACAGAAUGAAUCUCAAAAAUUGGAAAAUUAAGUUCAUUUCUGUUAUUGUAUUAAUUGGAAUUUCACAUUCAAAAAGGUACAAAUACUGCGGGGAGGGAUGCUGUCCUCACGAAUUCUGUGCUUAUCAUAAAAUCUGCUACCCCAUCAUCCAUUGCGAUCCCACGUGUCCGGACGGAAGCUGUCAAAAUGGACUUUGUUUUCCAGCCAAACCUUGCACGAAGAAUUUUGAAUGUGGUUUUGCAGAAACCUGUACAUUCAACUACAACCUUGGCUACACUACAUGUCAAUAUAACCUGAACAUAGGAGAGACUCUUUGUUCUGAUCGAAAUGGAAAUGCUGCAUAUAACCCUAAUCCAGACGAAAGUCCAUUUGUGCACGAAAGUUUUAAUAACGAGAAUAAUUUUUAGAUCACCUGAACUGAGAACUCAAGUGAGCUUUUAUGAUCAAUAGUUUUCUGUCCAGCUGUCUGUCCGUCUGUACACUUUUCACAUUUCCGACUUCUACUCAAGAACAACUGGGUCAACAAGGUUGACACAAAGCAUUCUUGGUUAAGGGAAGUUUAAUUUGUUAAAAUGAAGGGACAAUCCCCCUUACAAGGGGAGAUAAUUAAGAAAAGACAAACAUAGCUUGGGGUCAUUAAAUAAUACUAGUAUUCUUCUCAAGAACCACUAGGCCAGGAAAGCUGAAACAUGUGGAAUCAUCCUGGGGUAGUGUAGAUUAUGAAUUGAUCAAAUCAUGACCGCCUGGAUAAAGGCAGGCCCAUAAGAAGUAAUCUAAAACAGUGAAAUAUUUAGAAUUUUUUUUAAUAAAAAAAAUCUUCUUCUUAAGAACUGGGCCAGAAAAAUUGAAACUUGUAUGGAAGCAUCAGGGGGUAGUGAAGUUUCUAAAUUGCUCAAAUCAUGACUCCCUGGAGGUAGGGUGGGCUAAAAUAGGAAAUCCAUUGAACAUUGAAAUAUUGAAAAAAAUCUUUAAAAAAUUUCUUCUCAAGAACCACGUAGCCAGAAAUGCUAAAACUGAUACAUAAACACCUUGGGGUUGAUCUUCAAAUCAUGGUCCCUGGGGUUGGGUAAGACUACAAUAGGUAUUGCAAGGAUGGAAAUAUGGAAAGUUACUCAGGUGUGCAAUGUGGGUCAAAGGCCUCUCAGAUUUUUUUUCAGAAUAACCUUCGAAUUGAA